CACCCUUUGUGUACCUACCUCUGUUGCUUUGGCGGGCGCGGCCGCCCCGCCCUCGCGGCCCGGACCCAGGCCCGCCCGCCAGACCCCAAACCCUCUGUCUUUAGUGGUUUUCUCCUCUGAGUGACAUAAACAAUAAAUAUAAAAACAACGGAUCUCUUGGUUCUGGCAUCGAUGAAGAACGCAGCGAAAUGCGAUAAGUAAUGUGAAUUGCAGAAUUCAGUGAAUCAUCGAAUCUUUGAACGCACAUUGCGCCCUUUGCCGCCAGUAUUCUGGCGCCUGUUCGAGCGUCAUUACAACCCUCAAGCUCUGGCCCCCAGUGCCUGGCGUUGGGGAUCGGCGCGGCGUCAAGCGCGGCUCCCUCCGGGCCCCGAAAUUCAGUGGCGGUCUCGCUGUAGCCCUCCUCCGCGCAGGGCGUCGCCUAGUAGACAACCUCGCGCGGCGGUGGCCAUGCCGUAAAACACCUCAGGUAACACCCCACUUCUGAAAGUUGACCUCGGAUAAGCGGAGGAA
rnacentral:rRNA from 1 species